GCGGCGGCCCGGUUUCGAUUUAAGCUCGAUUUUGGUCAACGCCGGUUUUCUCCUAGCUCCGGCCACCAAAACUUCCGAUCCUUGGCUCCAUGAACUCCCCUCAACCUGCUGAUCAUCAUACUAGGAGGAUUGCACCUAGAGUGACCGGUUUCACGUUCGUCGGAGCUCGUGGGUUCCCCUUGAUGUUAUUAACAACUCUCUAGAAGGCAUCGAGGCCUGAAAUUGAAGUUUCUACGUCGAAAAUCGAGCUCGCCGGUUUCUGGAAAUUCUCGCCGGUUUCUGGAAAAUUCCGGCCACCUUUAUACUGUUCAAGGUGAUUGACGGUCUUCCUUGGGUGAGCGGUUUUGGUGUGUAUUGUGUUGAAUUGAAGACGCAGCGGGAAUAUCGAUCGGGAAAUCCUACAGGUCAGGAAGAUCAAGGCGGAGUUCGUGCGGGUUAGAGUUUUUGUUUCAGUUUACAGCUUUGUAAAUUGUGAGAUGUAUUAUUGAGAGGUGUGAAGUGUGGUAGUUGUGAGAAAAAAAUUCAGGACGUUUAUUCUAUUAAGUUGUAUAAUUCAUGUUUCGGAUUUUAAUUGUAUUUAAAAUUCGGGGCGUGACAUUACAUCUCUUAAUAUCAGGGAUUGUAAACUAAUGGAUACUGCUUUUCCA